GGCGAGGAGGAGUGGCCGGGCACCCCUUUGACUGCUGGCUGCGGGAGGCACGCAGGCCCGGAGACGAUCCCCGGACAAGUCGCCCCAGCGCUGCGCCAGGGUGUGAUUUGAAUAACAAAAGGUCGCUUCCUUCCCGAACCCUGGCGGCUGGGAUCCGCAAGCCGGAGCAGGAGGCUGCCUGCCCGCCAGGAAGAAACUUUUACAAUGACAUAGAAAAGCACUCUGCAAACACUUUAAGCUCCUUGGAGUGUGUCCCAAGUGGUGAUUGUGAUCACAGUGGUAGCAACAGCACUUCAAUUUUUUUUUGGACUGGGAAUGGAAGGUGGGAAUGCAGAGACGCACCUCCUUCCUGUCACCAGGUAACCCACGGUCGAAGGCUAAAAAGGGUGAAUGCAAGUGGGAAGCUGUGGCAAAGCUAACAGGAAGAGCUUGGUGAUGUCGGAAGGCUCCAAAAUCACCUAUCAGAUGGGAUGGUUAGUUCUGUGUGUCAACCUGGCUGUGUGCUGGGGCCCCCAGAUACUUGGUUAUUUGUGGAUCUGUGGGUUAGGGUGCUUCAGGGUGAGCAUGUGACUGGGUGGCCUCUGUAAAGCUGACUGCUCUCCCAGUGUGGGUAGACACCACUCAGCCUCUGGCGGCCCGCAGGGAACAAAAGGUGGGAGAGGAAGGAAUCAGUCCUUUCUCUGCCUGGCUGCAGAGCAGGGACAUCUCAUCUCUCGGGACUGGGACUGAUACCAUCGGAUCCACACCAUCAGCCCCACCAGGGUCUUGGGCCUCCAGACUCAGACUGAAUUUUGCUACCAGCUUUUCUGGAUCUCCAUUUUGCCAGUGGUGAUCAUGGAACUUCUCAGCCUUCAUAACAAUGUGGGCCAUUUCCUUAUAAUUAAUUAGUCUCUCUCUGGGUCUCUGUCUCUGUUUUCCUUUCGCUAUCUUUCUGUGACUCCAGAAACUUGACAAAUCCAUUUAAUGAUCACAGUCUUUAAAAUCUGGCCACCUCUGCCCUACCACCUGCUUCCCUUUGCAGACCCUCACACCAUCAACCAGCCCUCUUUGUCCUCUCCCUCCAGUCUCACCCACCAAGUGUCUGCUGGAUGGUCCCAGCCCUCAGAUCUCUCAGAAAGACUCUGUGGGUGGCAGCUGCUUAGGAACACAGCACAGGUGCCCAAAGCAUGGGGCAGGGGUGGGGCACAAUGCCAGGGUACUUUCUGGGGAGGCAGUGACAGAUGAAAACAUUCCCGACAGGGGUAAAAGUGGUCCUGUGCCUGGGGAGGUGCCAACUCACUCCUCCUGAAAGCCCCUAAGAGUUCCCCUCCUUCAGCCUUCAGGGGGAUCCCACAGCUGGCCAGCCUUGUCCCCUUGCUUCUGCCCACUUGGCCCAGCCUUUGCUCGCAGCUUGUCUGUCCCUUUCUGUUUUUCUUUCCCUGCAGAAAAACAUACAUAAUACCGACUGCCUCUCCUGCAAAAUCUUCUCAGGCAACAACGGCCUUCCCAAAGGACAAUCUGUGUCUCUGCUGGGAUGACUCGGCCUUUUGAGGGCAGGAUCUUGGUCUGAUUCCAAGUUCUGCCCAAAGCAAGCAGCUUUUCCAAACCUCAGAUUUGGCCUGAGUGAUGUUCAGGAUUCUACACCACCAUCCAGAAUGGCAGGAUCCAGAAAGCACUGGCUCUGAAGAUCUGUUUCUUUAGUGGCCUGAGUGGGGCCAAGAGGGUCACGCGGUCCCAUUCCCAGUUAGAUCUGCUAUCCUGGUCAGGAUACCUGAUGAUAGUCCUUAGUACAGUUGCAGGAGGCCUGGAGGCCGUGCCUCCUUGUUGUGGAGGUCAGCGCAGGCAGUGGGAGAAACAUCAGAAAUCUGCUUUCUCCUCCUAUCUCCUACUUGAUCUGCAAGAUGUCCAGCCUAUUCUAUAUUCCUCAGUUUAUAAUCUGUUCUCCUUAAAGCAAAAGAUGCCUCCUUGAGAUGCGAGCUGAUCAUCAGCCUUCUUUGUUGUGCUAUGAAGAGUCUAGGGCUGGUGCCGAAAGAAUGGGAGAGAGUCAGGGCUCUUGGGACCCAUCUUGGGUGACAGAUGCGGCUGGGGGUCUUGACCUCUCCUGCUCAUGGCUGAAUCCCAGCUCUGUGGCAGUGCAUGGCACACAGCAGGCACUCAGUGAAUUUUUGCUGGAUGUAUGCAUGAUUGCAUGCAAGAAAUCAUUUCACCGACCUGCCAGGCCCUCUUCUGAGUGCUGGGGCACACCAGGGACUCUGCCGUCCCAUGUCCUGGUGGUGCCUCGGGCUUUAGCAUCGGGCUCCACACUGAGCUCCCACGUCUCAAUUCCCUGCAAAGUAGUAUUUAGAGAUGAGCUAAAUGAGACCGAGAAGCUAAAGGCCCAAGAGGCAGCACUCCUGUCUCUUGUCUGAUUUGCUCAUCACAUAUGAGAGCCAUAGGAUGCUUCCAUAGCUCUUUGUUGAUCCUCACUGUUCUGUUACACAGUCUGGAGCUCACCUGUCCAUCCACACAUCCAGCCUCCACUAGGUACCACUGGUGCCAGGUUAGGACCAGGUCCCAGGGAGUACUCUUUCUAACAAAGGGACUAAAGUGCUCUGCAGCUGCUGUAGAACAGUCCAGUGGCCUCUGAAGAUAUUAAACAGAAUCGCCACAUGACCCAGCAAUGCCACUCUGAGGUUUAUACCUAAAAGCACAGAAAGUGGGGACUCAAAUGGAAUAAACUUGAACACCUGUGCCCACAAUAGUCACAGAGAGAAACAGCCCAAGUCCAUCAACAGAUGACUGCAUAAACAAUGCACUAAGUCCUUGCAAUGGAAUGUGGCUAGAACAAACACAGUAGCUAUCUUCCUUCUGCUUAUAUCCCAAUAAUCAACACAGAAGACUUCUAAGACCUCAAAAGUACGGGGAUUUCUCCCCCUCGGUAAGCAAGCAACUAGCAGGGUGUCCUCUAGUCCAGUCUAGUUCUGUCACCGCCUAGCUGGAGACAGUGUGAGAUCACAUAGAUGAGGGCUAAGGCCCCAAGACUGAUUACACCUCUCCCACAAUUCACACGCCAGUCUCAAGUCUGUGCUUCCAGCCAAUCAGCUAGCAAUCAGGAUUCCUGCAUUCCCUUCCUCAGGUUCCAUCUUGCUGGGCCAGGAACACUUGUGUUUACUGGAUCAUCAAGGACAUGACAAAGGGUACAAAGAGACACACAAUAACGUAUGGGGAGGGGGGCAAGAGCUCCCACACCCUCUCCAGAUCACCACCCUUCAGGAAGCUCCGAGUGUUCAGCCACCCAGAAGCACCUAUGAACUUGGCCUUUGCAUUUCUCUGGAGACUUUACCACAUGGGCAAGACUGAAGGAUGACAACCUAGCAGAAAUGCAGCUUCACAUGAAGGGUGCGCUUCUGCUGGCAGAUAGCACAGGAAACAACACAAGUUCUGCCUGCCCCGCUCCUCUGGCCUCUCUGCAUAGCUUCCCAGGCCCUUGUUCCAGGGACCCACUGGAAUGAGGAGGGUCUUGUGAUCUGCUGUCAGGAAAGGAGGUCAGGGAACUUCCACAUGCUGAGCUCCACGACAGAAUGGCAGGGUAAGGUUAGGGUUUCUGUGACCUGCCUUGGAAGCAUGAACAAAUACAUACAUAAUCAUAACAUCACAAUGAGACAAUGUGGUUGGAAACACUGUGCUAAAUGGAGUAAGUCAGACACAAGAGGGCUUACUUCCAGAAUGAAGUAGUCAGAAUAAGCCAAGUCAUCAAGACACAAAGUGGAUUAGAUGUCACCAGAAGAUGGAAGCAGAGAGUAGAUGGGACUUCUUGCUUAAUGAGUACAUAAUUUGUGCUUUGGGCGAUGACAAAUCUUGGCGAUAAUGUGAUUGCUGCACAACACUCUGAAUGUAAUGAAUGCUGCUGAAAUUAUACACUAAAAAAACAGGGCUGCUGGGCCGGGGAUAUAGCUCAGUGGCACAGUGCUUGCUGGUCAGGCGUGAGGUUGUGAGUCUGAUCCCCAGUACCAAACAACAACAACAAAAACAGAGCUGUGGGGUAUGGUGGCGUGUACCUGUAAUCCUAGCACUUUGGGAGGCUGAGGCAGAAGGAUGGCAAGUUUGAGCCCAGCUUGUGUAACUUAGUAAGACCCCAUCUCAAAUAAAAAAAGGACUGUGGUGGCCGUCA